UGGGGAAUAUUGGGCAAUGGGCGCAAGCCUGACCCAGCAACGCCGCGUGAAGGAAGAAGGCUUUCGGGUUGUAAACUUCUUUUAUGAGGGACGAAAAAAAUGACGGUACCUCAUGAAUAAGCCACGGCUAACUACGUGCCAGCAGCCGCGGUAAUACGUAGGUGGCAAGCGUUAUCCGGAUUUACUGGGUGUAAAGGGCGUGUAGGCGGGACUGUAAGUCAGGCGUGAAAAUUAUGGGCUCAACCCAUAACCUGCGUUUGAAACUAUAGUUCUUGAGUGUCGGAGAGGUAAUCGGAAUUCCGUGUGUAGCGGUGAAAUGCGUAGAUAUACGGAGGAACACCAGUGGCGAAGGCGGAUUACUGGACGAUAACUGACGCUGAGGCGCGAAAGCGUGGGGAGCAAACA
rnacentral:rRNA from 1 species